AAUAGAUGACGCUUUUGACUUUUUCUCACAUGUUUGACCAUUCGUCUUAUUCAAAAAAUUUACGUAAUUAUAAUUUAUUUUGUUAUGAAUUGUUUUAUCACUCAUAGUAGUUGAAGUGUGAUUUGUAUCUUAUAUAUUUGCAUAAAAUUUUUGAAUAAGACGAAUAGUCAAACAUGUGAGAAAAGUCAACGGCGUCAUCUAUU
rnacentral:pre_miRNA from 1 species